rnacentral:rRNA from 1 species
UACGGAGGGUGCGAGCGUUGUCCGGAAUUAUUGGGCGUAAAGAGCUCGUAGGCGGUUUGUCGCGUCUGCUGUGAAAAUCCAGGGCUUAACCCUGGACCUGCAGUGGGUACGGGCAGACUAGAGUGCGGUAGGGGAGAUCGGAAUUCCUGGUGUAGCGGUGAAAUGCGCAGAUAUCAGGAGGAACACCGGUGGCGAAGGCGGAUCUCUGGGCCGUAACUGACGCUGAGGAGCGAAAGCAUGGGGAGCGAACAGG